UUUAAAAAAAAGCAAUGAGACAGACUCAUACAUUGCUGGCUGCGUUGCAUUGGUUGUUAUCCAUGGCUGAGAAGGAAAAAAAGAGCAUCAAAUCUAAUCAAAGGAAGAACACACGGGAAUCAAUAGAAACCAUGUUGCUUCUCAAUGAAAAGACUAUUCCUGCACGUUUUCUCAUCUUCAAAGCAAAAGUGAAAGGCAAAGUCAACAGCUGAAGUUUAUUUAUAUCAUGAGUAAUUUAGCAACAACACGUUGUACAGAACAAUGUCGUUUGCAUCAAUUUUAACCACCA
rnacentral:lncRNA from 1 species